rnacentral:lncRNA from 1 species
CGCACUGUGUCCCCGUCCCUCGCCGACCCGCUUCCCGCGUCGGUCCGCGCCCUGGAGACGGCAGCCGGGGCGGUCACAGCCAGGGGCGGAGGCUGCAGGGGACCGGUGACCCGCGAGGGGCCGGGCGCGGAGGAAGAAGAGCGGGCGCUGGAGGGGGGAGGAGGGGCGGCAGGACAUACUGUUCAAGGGCUGGUCGGGGCGCGGGCUGGACCUGAGAUCUCCUGGUGUCCUGCCGCAGGUCAAGGUGGUCGCAGCCAGUGGCCCUGCGAAGGACGGGGUCUAAGAGGGGACAGAAGUUGGGGACCCAUGUCCUAGGUCAUCACUGGGGCAUCGGAGGGACAGAGGUGUCCAAAGGGUGGAUGUCCCAGCCUGGUACCGCCGCCGCGAGGUCCGCUGUGGACCGCACCCCAGCCCUAACCCGGUUUCCCAUAGAAACCAAGUUGCGAAGGAUGGUUGCGUCCGUCAACAACAGGCAGAAGCCGGAGGAGGGGGCUCUCCUGCCCACUGGAGAGGUUUCGUUGUGCGGGUUUUUUUCUUCCCAGGAGGAAGGCGGCGCCAGGAUAAGGGAGGCAGCUUAGAGGCUGGGCCUGUGAGAGUUUUUGUGGAGAAUAUUGAGGAAAGAGAUGCCAAAGCAGAUGGCCGAAGUGACUAUGCAGAUGUGACUGAAGUUACAGACCUUGAGAUGGGACUCUCAUCUUGGAUUAUUCCCGCGGCGCCGGGCUAAUUGCUUGAGUGGAGAACACGAAAGCGGAAACUUUCCCCGCUGGGUGAGAGAAAGAGACGAGAGAUGAGGAGAAAAGUCCCAGAGAUGCAAUGAGAAGGGCUCCACCCGCUGUGGCUGACUUUAAAGAUGGAGGAAGGAGGCAGCCUCUGGAAGCUGGGAGAGGUGUGGAAAUGCAUUCUCCACAGACCUCAAGAAGGAACCCAGCCCUGCCGACGCUCUGAUUUUAGUUCAGUGAGAUCCGUGUGGGACUUCUGGCCUCCAGAACUGUCAGAUAAUAAAUUAUCUCCAUAUAUCUUAGAAUAUAGAAUAGGCUCUUAAUGGAUGUUUAAUGAAAGAAUGAGUAAAAAAGAAUUUGGAUUAAACUAAUUCACAGUAAACUGCAAAUGGAAAAUAGUCCCUUAAUUCCUCCAGGGCUGGCUGUAGUUUUCUAAGUAUAUAUUUUAAACCCAAAUGGCUCUAAUUUAAGGAAUUUUUGGCACAACGUGAAGCAAAGAGAUGGGGAAGGCCAAGGAGAGCCAGGAGGGUGUCUUGCUUUUGGACAGAUAGGACUUUCCAGUGAGCAUGCCCCAGGCGUCAUGCCCUGGGUUGUUUCUGCUUUGUGCAGCCUCUCCCUUACCCUCUGGGCCCUAGACCAGCCUUCCUAAGACAUCACCACAGAAAGGCAGUGAGGGAGGAGCAGUCUGGAGUGGGG